ACGGCUCAGAUUGACGAAGGGGAGGGCAGAGAUGGCGACACUGGCGGCGGAAAGGAACGCGGCGGUGCUCUGGCGGACGGCGGUGGCGAAGGUGACGGAGGAUCCGGCGGAAAGUAUCUUCUUGAGCGGAAAAGGUCGAAUCUUGGAGGGGCAGUUUAGCUAGAUCCAAGAAAAUGGGCAGCACAGGAAACUAGAGGUAGGUGAUGCAUGAACAUACGUGGAGAAGGAUCCGCAGAGAGACGAGCUGCCGGUCACGUUCCUGGAGAAGCCCGGCAAAGGCGCGUUGCUCCCUCACUUUUUGCAGGAAGACGAGGCUCAGCGCGGCUGCUGCGAGGGCCAGCAGCAGCAGGAGCAUGUAGGAUCUUGGCUUUGUUUGCUGAAGGCCUGCAGCAAUGUGAAGGAGCUGCAGCUGCAGCUACACUUCCUUGGUUCUCUUGGGUUUGGGAGUGGCAGGGCUUUGCAGCGUUUCUUGUGCAUCGAGGUCACUGGUUAGGAGGAGACACAGCUGAGCCUUUGAGGUGGUGCUCUGCACUACUCAUAUGCUAAUUGCACAUGCCCCUAAGUGCUAGUCUAUUUUAGAUUUUAUUUAUUUUUAGCCAUGGAAUAAAUCAAUAUGAUGACGUGCCAUUGACUUGCACUUACUGGGGAGGAUUUUUACUGCAUGCAGUUGAGAAGUGGCUAAUGAGUACUGAGUACUGACAACUGCACCUGUGCAUGCUCUGGACCAUCCGAUCUCGCAUUGUAUGGUCCAGGCUGAGCACCCUGGAGGUUCAAACUUGUGCGAGAGAUUACCGACGGUUUUGCAGUAAUGUGAUUUCUUCUCUGCCUGCAGAUCACCGAAUUCUGAAGUCAACAUCGAUGUAAGAUGGCAAUAAAUGAGUGGAGAUUCUUCUAUGCUUCUUCUCAGAUCUCCAUACAGAGAUCGCCUCAGGAUGAGUAAUCUAUUCGUGGAGCAGCAGCACGGUUAGUGCUCCACCGUGCAGGAUCCAAUAUCUUAGACCUGAGGCUCCAUCAAAGAACGUGUGAAAUGCUAACUAAUGGAUCCAGUUCCAAACCUAUGUUAGCUAGUCCCAAAGUCCAAAUGGAAUUGCCAGGAAAAUAGUACACUUGGUAGUAGCAGUAUCACUGAAGUAGCUGCCAGCUUACAGCCAUGUGAUUGAUGUGAGAAAAUUUCUACUUUAGACGAGGAGAUCGAUGGCACCUUGACUCCAAAAGAAGCACCUGUACAUGUUACAGACUGGGAGCAGAUUACAGAUAGCAACAGGUUGAUUAAGGAAGUAUUUAUGCCAAAAAAUGGUGAUUAGUUGUGAACUGUGAACACAACGGUUGGAGGUUGCAACCGCAGGUGAGUGUUGAUGGGCUUCACGUCUCCCUCGAUGAGAACCAACGACAUGCCAGCAACAUUCCUUGCAUGCAUGAUGAACCGGGGACUCUGUCGUGUGCUCUGCACGAACUGCUGGUUCGUGGUGUACUUGAUAAGAAGUGGAGCAAAGGUCUAAUAAAAUGUUGCUGGAUUCAUUAUGCGUCCAUGUUCUUGGGAAGCGUCGUUUUAUUUAAAAUGUUUGCCCAUCGAUGAAAUCAAGAAUAUUGUAACAUUCGUGGUCUCUACCCUUACAUCAGUAUUGUGCAAGAGGUUGAAUGAUUGUAGUAUGUCAUUUGAUAGAUCAUUUCUUAACUUCUAUUCAGAUUUACUGCUUUGUUGGUC